CCUACGGGAGGCAGCAGUGGGGAAUAUUGCACAAUGGGGGAAACCCUGAUGCAGCGACGCCGCGUGAGCGAGGAAUUAUUUCGGUAUGUAAAGCCCUGUUUGCAGGGAAGAAGAAUGACGGUACCUGAAGCAGAAGCACCGGCUAAAUAAGGGCCAGCAGCCGCGGUAAUACGUAGGGUGCAAGCGUUAUCCGGAUUUACUGGGUGUAAAGGGAGCGCUGGCGGUUCUGUAAGUUUGAGGUGAAAGCCCGGGGCUCAAACGCGGGACUGCAGUGGAAACUGCGGUACUGGAGUGUCGGAGGGGUAAGCGGAAUUCCUGGUGUAGCGGUGAAAUGCGUAGAUAUCAGGAAGAACACCGGUGGCGAAGGCGGCUUACUGGACGAUGACUGACGCUGAGGCUCGAAAGCGUGGGGAGCAAACAGGAUUAGAUACCCGUGUAGUC
rnacentral:rRNA from 1 species